rnacentral:lncRNA from 1 species
GCAACCUCAAACAUAACAGUAUUCUUCUCUCUCCUCUUUCUCGUCUCACCUUCCUUCACCACCACAACCGUCAGAUCCGGAAGUAUAUCUCCCUUCUUCAACCUCUUCUAUUUUCCUCUCAUUCACUCACACCAUUUCAUUCAUUAUUCCCCAGGACCCAGAUUACGAUUGCGUAUACACCAUCUACAUCAGAACCGGUUUAGUCUUAAAAGGAAGAACCGAUUCCAACAUCGGACUCAAACAAUACGACAAUUUAUGCAAACUCAAUAUGAGCAUUGGGAAAGGUGACAGCGACGCAACACAUCAGUCUAGCAAGGCUUGGUGCAACUGACCGAGGAACCAGCACCAGAAUGACCGAGGCAAGGAACAUUGGCGCAUCAGAAUUGGAACAUUGGCGCACCAGAAAUUCGGACUAUUCAUAAACCAAAUAUCAUAAUUUAUUCAAGGGCAUUUUUGUGAAAAGGGGAAAUAAGUAGAGAA